CCCAUACCCCUUUUUUGAAACUUGCUGCUCUCCUUCUCGCAUAUCAGACCCCAAAUGCCCCCAUUCUCUUUCUUUUGUGACUUCCAAAUCCGAAUCCCUUAGACCCUCACUAAAAUUCAUCCGAAAUCCUUCAUAAAACUCGCUGCUUGCACAUUGGUUCUGAAACGAGGAGACGGUUUGACUUCAAUUUCUAACCAUUCUUGAAGAAUGAACGGUGCUUGGAAGCUCCUACUAAACUAAGCUGAAAUAAUAACAAAGCUACACCAGUGACUAGAAGCUGGAAGUUGGAUGCUCAUAUUACUGUACAUAAAUCAGGUCUUGAACCUGCAAGGUGAAAGUGAUGAGACCUUGCUCAAAAGUGAAUAAAGUAACAUUAAGACAAGCAAUCUGACAUUUCUCAAAAAGGCAAGGCUGCUCGUGCAAGCAACAUCACCUGGAGAUAAGACUUACAAUGACUAGAAGGUAUGAGUUGUAAAGGAGGCUUCUUGGGCAGACCCCUCUGCCUAUAAAAAGAGGCCUCCUUCAACUCUAAGAGUAUGCUCACUUCUCUCUCUCUCUCUCUCUCUAAAACUAUUCUCUCGCAUUCAUGCUUAACUCUAAGAGAUCUCGUUAUUGAUUCUCACGCCAGAGUCAAAAUUCGGAAGGUCACCUCUCAUGUUAAGGCUAACAGUAUUCUUUGUGUGUAGAUUCUGAUCAAGAAGCCAUUUGUCGGAGUGGAUCCUGAACCUUCCCCUUACCAUACUCUUAUUGUUUUAACAAGUAUAAACCAAACCGACUAUAUAACCUUUAUUAUUUAUAUUUUUUUUAA